rnacentral:lncRNA from 1 species
UUUUUUCCACCAUGAUCCUUGUAGUCUCUACUAUUUUUUGGUGAUAUUUGUGGAAAUUGUGCACGUGUAAUUUCUGAAAAUGCUUAGGGUUUGCUUUGACAUGUCAUUUUGUGCACCAUGCUCACUCUUUUGCUCAUAAAAGGAUGAUGCUUCAUUAGAAAUUCAUGAAAAUUUUUGUGCUUAAACUAGACUCAUUCCUGAGAAUUUUGAUAUGUGGUUUGUAAUUUU